CGGUCUCGAGGAGAGAAUUCGCCGGCCAUUCUUCUCCGCCUCGCUCAGUCUGCUCUCACCACGUAGCAACCCCGCACGGCGACGGCCAAUCAAACACGACUCCUGGGACGUGGAGGACGGCCUUGAAGAUGCAUUCUCAAGCAGCAUGGAUGUAGAGGAGUUAGACAACAGUAAAUGAGACUGGCUUCACGCCAACAGCCUCUGACAGUCUGGUCGUGCGUUUGAAACCAGUACCUUUUUGGUCGGGAGCCCAACACCGGAACCAAUAGACUGGCAUGGCCCCACUCCACAGAAACAUGGACACAACUCCUGCCAUACGCAACUUCCUGCACACACAGUGCAACAACAGACCACGUUAGGCCCAACAUAAGACACCACUCAAAGAUAAAUCGGCCUUCAUGAUAAGAAAUGUCUUAUUUUUUUUCAAAAAUCGAACACCAAUCCAGCCGUCAGUCAUUAAGUAUUUGUAAAGCUAUUCUUGUUAUCCAUGUUUACUUUGUUCAAACUAUGACUUUCUUACUCUUUUUCAUCUUCAACUAUCCAUGGACAACUGUCCACUGUUCUCUCCUCAAGCACAUGUGUUAUCUAAUGCACUGUUGAAAUCCGUUGAACGGUGGAAGAUGCUCUCACAGUCACUGGACACAGUUCAUGAUUGUGUUAUGGGUUUAUAUUUUGUGUUAUUAUUAUUAUGAGUAUUCUGCUUUGCCAAGAACAAGAGGGCGGUUGUGUAAUGAAAUUGUAGAACCUUUGUGUUCUUUGUGUUGGGGGUGUGUUGGCGAUUUGAGUUUGAGUUUAGAAAUAUAUAAGUGUGUGACUAACAGGCAGAAUGAUGUGAAAGCAAAGCAUACAGUCAAGUUAAACCAAUAUAGCUGAGGGAUAUAAUUUCUGAAAGAUUCAUAUACAUCUUAAGCUUAGUAUAGAAUCAGUGACAUUAAAUAUAUUUUGUAACACCAAUAUCAACUAAUUUAAAAUAUCUUGUUUGUUUAUUGAUAAACAAACAUUUAAAAUCACACUUUCAAAAAUUGGCAUCAUAGAUUAAAUUGUAGGUCAUUUUAUAAUUUUUUGUGUCCAUUUACUGUCCCUAUCCAAACGGUCUCCAUUAAUACUGAAUACAUCAGCCAACUAAUGCAACAAAGAGUUGCACUUAUACUUCUACAGCAUUCAUUAUUAAAAAAACAGUCAGUUGAAAUGUCAAAUCAGCACUCAUUUGUCUAAUGGUAUUCAAUUAACGUCUAUAAAGGUUAUAAAUCAAAACAACUAAAUUGUUUCCCUAUUUUCUCUGUCUCUAGAUCUUUAUCAAAUUACUUGCCUCUAAAUAGAAUGAUACUGUUGAACAUGCUGGGUAAUUUAAGGGGUUGUAGAAAUAUAUAAUUACAGCGUUGGAGAUAAAACUCCCACACUAUUUGCAUAUGCUGUAUUUUUUCAAUAUGUGUAUUUUUAUUUAUGUACAUAUUAUAGCAUUGUAAGUAGUCUGAAUACAAUCAGGGUUAUACUUUUUCUACCAACAUUUAUUACUCUUGUAAAUAAAAACGUGAAUGCCUGUUUUUUUCAUUUGGUUAUACGGUUAAUAAUUAUGUUAUGAACUAUUUUCUUCUCAAAUUGUAUUAUGGGCUAUGGGUUAUAGAAUAUUGGGGCCUGUGUGUCGCUGUCAUGACACCCACUACUAGAAUAAUUGGAUGGCUUAUCAGGUUCGACCAUGGGGCUUAAUUGCAUUUCAUUUCUGCGCCAUUGGAAAUGCCAGAGAGAGCGAGAGAGAGCAAGAGAGAAAGAGAGAGACGAUAGGGUGGGAGACCACCACCACUGUCUUCACAUUCAGGAGCCCUGUUGAAUUAUAAUGAGGACUUGGGAAUGUGUGGGAUUCCGGAUUCUUUUUUGUUGGUAUUGUUAUGAGAUUUGCCUGAAUUCUAUUUUAAUUUCUUUACUAUUUUGGUAUCAUCUAACUUGUUUUUGUCUCAAAAUGUGCUCUAUGAUCUUUUUUAUGGGGGGGGGGAUAUUAUUGAAUCACUAUCAUUUAAGUUUUUUUAUUUACAGUUAAUGCCUGGAUAUUAAUAUUGUCUAGUUUGGUUUUAUCGAUAUACUAAAGACUUCCAACUAACCCACACAACUCGUUGAAGAAAGAUAGGUUAAGGCAGUGAAAUAAGUAGUACACACAUUUCAACAAAAUCAUUGGAUAUUGUAAAACUUUUUUAUUUUGUCCAACUUCUUUCCGGAGACAAAAACUCAGAUGUCAUUUUAUAUUCUGAAAAAAGUAUCUAUUUUUCUUGUUUAAGAGUUCAUUACUUACAUAUUUGUUUACUUAAAUAUAUGUAAAUGAAUUAUAUUCAAAUUGCAUCUGUUUUCCUUUAGAUGCAGUACAAAUCAAUAUUAGGAAACAGCAAUGCAAAGUCAAGAAAAGCAAAUACAUAUUGGGUAACAAUGUAGCUAUAGUAACUAGUUAAAAUGUUUAUAUUUCUUAAUCAUCUUGGCUAACCAACAGAACAAUGUUGUCGUUUGUCAAAGAGGGUGCUUGAUAUUGGUUACCUAUGCAAUUGUUGGAUAUGUCAAAUACUGUAUUAUGAGAGCAGUUUGUGAAUAAAACAUAUUUAGUUGAUGUACA